rnacentral:rRNA from 1 species
CCUACGGGAGGCAGCAGUGGGGAAUAUUGCACAAUGGGGGAAACCCUGAUGCAGCAACGCCGCGUGAAGGAAGACGGUUUUCGGAUUGUAAACUUCUGUUCGUAGUGAAGAAUAAUGACGGUAGCUAAGGAGCAAGCCACGGCUAACUACGUGCCAGCAGCCGCGGUAAUACGUAGGGAGCAAGCGUUGUCCGGAAUUACUGGGCGUAAAGGGGGCGUAGGUGGGCGCUUAAGUCAGGUGUGAAAACUCCGGGCUCAACCUGGAGACUGCACUUGAAACUGGGUGUCUUGAGGGCAGGAGAGGAAAGUGGAAUUCCUAGUGUAGCGGUGAAAUGCGGAGAUAUUAGGAGGAACACCAGUGGCGAAGGCGACUUUCUGGACUGUACCUGACGCUGAGGCGCGAAAGCGUGGGUAGCGAACGGGAUUAGAUACCCGAGUAGUC